AGUCGACGAUGAUGCCCAGCUUGCUGGGUGGAUUAGUGGCGAACGGGUGAGUAACACGUGAGUAACCUGCCCCUGACUCUGGGAUAAGCGUUGGAAACGACGUCUAAUACUGGAUAUGACUGCCGGCCGCAUGGUCUGGUGGUGGAAAGAUUUUUUGGUUGGGGAUGGACUCGCGGCCUAUCAGCUUGUUGGUGAGGUAAUGGCUCACCAAGGCGACGACGGGUAGCCGGCCUGAGAGGGUGACCGGCCACACUGGGACUGAGACACGGCCCAGACUCCUACGGGAGGCAGCAGUGGGGAAUAUUGCACAAUGGGCGAAAGCCUGAUGCAGCAACGCCGCGUGAGGGAUGACGGCCUUCGGGUUGUAAACCUCUUUUAGUAGGGAAGAAGCGUAAGUGACGGUACCUGCAGAAAAAGCACCGGCUAACUACGUGCCAGCAGCCGCGGUAAUACGUAGGGUGCAAGCGUUGUCCGGAAUUAUUGGGCGUAAAGAGCUCGUAGGCGGUUUGUCGCGUCUGCUGUGAAAUCCCGAGGCUCAACCUCGGGCUUGCAGUGGGUACGGGCAGACUAGAGUGCGGUAGGGGAGAUUGGAAUUCCUGGUGUAGCGGUGGAAUGCGCAGAUAUCAGGAGGAACACCGAUGGCGAAGGCAGAUCUCUGGGCCGUAACUGACGCUGAGGAGCGAAAGCGUGGGGAGCGAACAGGAUUAGAUACCCUGGUAGUCCACGCCGUAAACGUUGGGCGCUAGAUGUAGGGACCUUUCCACGGUUUCUGUGUCGUAGCUAACGCAUUAAGCGCCCCGCCUGGGGAGUACGGCCGCAAGGCUAAUACUCAAAGGAAUUGACGGGGGCCCGCACAAGCGGCGGAGCAUGCGGAUUAAUUCGAUGCAACGCGAAGAACCUUACCAAGGCUUGACAUACACCGGAAACAGCCAGAGAUGGUUGCCCCCUUGUGGUCGGUGUACAGGUGGUGCAUGGUUGUCGUCAGCUCGUGUCGUGAGAUGUUGGGUUAAGUCCCGCAACGAGCGCAACCCUCGUUCUAUGUUGCCAGCGCGUUAUGGCGGGGACUCAUAGGAGACUGCCGGGGUCAACUCGGAGGAAGGUGGGGAUGACGUCAAAUCAUCAUGCCCCUUAUGUCUUGGGCUUCACGCAUGCUACAAUGGCCGGUACAAAGGGCUGCGAUACCGUAAGGUGGAGCGAAUCCCAAAAAGCCGGUCUCAGUUCGGAUUGAGGUCUGCAACUCGACCUCAUGAAGUCGGAGUCGCUAGUAAUCGCAGAUCAGCAACGCUGCGGUGAAUACGUUCCCGGGCCUUGUACACACCGCCCGUCAAGUCAUGAAAGUCGGUAACACCCGAAGCCGGUGGCCUAACCC
rnacentral:rRNA from 1 species